rnacentral:rRNA from 1 species
AACGAACGCUGGCGGCAGGCCUAACACAUGCAAGUCGAGCGGACCCUUCGGGGUUAGCGGCGGACGGGUGAGUAACGCGUGGGAAUAUGCCCUUCUCUACGGAAUAGUCCUGGGAAACUGGGGGUAAUACCGUAUACGCCCUUUGGGGGAAAGAUUUAUCGGGGAAGGAUUAGCCCGCGUUGGAUUAGGUAGUUGGUGGGGUAAUGGCCUACCAAGCCGACGAUCCAUAGCUGGUUUGAGAGGAUGAUCAGCCACACUGGGACUGAGACACGGCCCAGACUCCUACGGGAGGCAGCAGUGGGGAAUCUUAGACAAUGGGGGCAACGCUGAUCUAGCCAUGCCGCGUGAGUGAUGAAGGCCUUAGGGUUGUAAAGCUCUUUCAGCUGGGAAGAUAAUGACGGUACCAGCAGAAGAAGCCCCGGCUAACUCCGUG